rnacentral:rRNA from 1 species
AUACGGAGGGUGCAAGCGUUAAUCGGAAUUACUGGGCGUAAAGCGUACGUAGGCGGCAAGUUAAGUUAGAUGUGAAAGCCCCGGGCUCAACCUGGGAACUGCAUUUAAAACUGGCUUGCUAGAGUUGAGUAGAGGGGAGUGGAAUUUCUGGUGUAGCGGUGAAAUGCGUAGAGAUCUGAAGGAACACCAGUGGCGAAGGCGACUCCCUGGACUCGAACUGACGCUGAGGUACGAAAGCGUGGGUAGCAAACGGGAUUAGAAACCCUAGUAGUCC